rnacentral:rRNA from 1 species
CCUACGGGGGGCAGCAGUAGGGAAUCUUCCACAAUGGGCGAAAGCCUGAUGGAGCAACGCCGCGUGGGUGAAGAAGGUCUUCGGAUCGUAAAACCCUGUUGUUAGAGAAGAAAGUGCGUGAGAGUAACUGUUCACGUUUCGACGGUAUCUAACCAGAAAGCCACGGCUAACUACGUGCCAGCAGCCGCGGUAAUACGUAGGUGGCAAGCGUUAUCCGGAUUUAUUGGGCGUAAAGGGAACGCAGGCGGUCUUUUAAGUCUGAUGUGAAAGCCUUCGGCUUAACCGGCGUAGUGCAUUGGAAACUGGGAGACUUGAGUGCAGAAGAGGAGAGUGGAACUCGAUGUGUAGCGGUGAAAUGCGUAGAUAUAGGGAAGAACACCAGUGGCGAAAGCAGCUUUCUGGUCUGUAACUGACGCUGAGGUUCGAAAGCGUGGGUAGCAAACAGGAUUAGAUACCCGGGUAGUC